rnacentral:rRNA from 1 species
UACGAAGGGGGCUAGCGUUGCUCGGAAUCACUGGGCGUAAAGGGUGCGUAGGCGGGUCUUUAAGUCAGGGGUGAAAUCCUGGAGCUCAACUCCAGAACUGCCUUUGAUACUGAGGAUCUUGAGUUCGGGAGAGGUGAGUGGAACUGCGAGUGUAGAGGUGAAAUUCGUAGAUAUUCGCAAGAACAUCCAGUGGCGAAGGCG